rnacentral:lncRNA from 1 species
CUCCCCCAACCCUGGAUGCUUUCCUUUAAAUCUGUGUGUGUGUGUGUGUGUGUGUGUGCACAUGUGUGUGCAUGCACACACGCACGCACACAUGCAUUUGAGACUGAUUAUCAUUGUUUUCUAAAUGUGCCUUUGCUACCAUGUGGCUCUUAGCCUUAGGAUAGUCUUCCUUGUGAUUUACUUUUUUAUUAAGAUCAAAUCCAUGUAACAUAAAUUCACCAUUUAAAUUAUUUUAGUGAUAUUUUGCACAUUCACAAGGUUGUGCAAAGUCACCAGUAUCUAGUUUCUGAUCAUUUCCAUCACCCCAGAAUGAAGCCCUGUGCCAUUAGCAGUCACUUCCUAUUCCGCCCUUGCCCAGACCCUGGCAACCAUUAAUCUACUUUCUUUGCCUAAGGGUUUUCCUAUUCUGGACAUUUCUUAUAAAUGGAAUCAUGCAGUGCAUGGUGGUUUGUGAUGCGUUUCUUGAACUUGGUUUAAGAUUUCAAGGUUCACAGAGGUUGUACUUCCUUCCUUUUUGUGGUUGGAACAAAUUGUGAUUAUUCAUGUAUCUAUUGCUAAUGGGCAUUUUGGUUAUUGCUACUUUUUGGCUAAUAUGACUAAUAUUACUUCAAACAUUGUUUUAUGUGUGUUGACCUUAGGCUGUUCUUAAACCUUUGAGCUUUCCUACUUUGUUUAAAUUUUUUUUUUUCUUUACCACCGAGCUACAUCUCUACUCCUUUUGAUUUUUAAUUUUGAGACAGGGUCUCACUGAGUUGCUGAGCUAGCCUUGAAUUUGUGAUCUUCUUGCCUCAGUCUCCUGAGUCACUGAGUUGACAGUGC